rnacentral:tRNA from 1 species
GCCAGCAUGACAUAGUGGUUUGAAUGUUGGACUGCAACUCUGGAGAUCAGGGUUCGAUUCCCUGUUCGGCCA